GUGGAAAUACGACUGCAGCAUUCCUCUGCGUCGGACGUCCGUGGUCCAGCAGUGGAAACCUCCGCCCAGGGAGUUAGCGUGACGAAUGCUCACUUUAAUCGUCUUUAUACCUGUUAGAAAAACACAUUUUCCCAGUCCCUGCUGAUGAAAGGCAUUUACACAACAUGAUGCUUCCACCACCAUGUUUCACAGCGGGAACAGUCUUCUCAGGGCGAUUAGCAGUGUUGGGUUUUGUGAAAAGGCCAAAAUGUUUGAGUCUCCAAUAUGUAUUUUGGCAAACUCCAAAUGGCAUCUCAUAUGACUCGCUACUCUUCCACAAAGUCCUGCUGUGUGGAAUGUUCAGACUGUGGUUGUCCUAUCUUCAGCUCCUUCAGAGUUCUCCUUGUGCUCUUGGUUGUGUCUCUGACUAAUCCCCUCUAUACCUGCUCGCUGACUUUUGGUGGACGUCUCCUCUAAGCAGAGUCAUGGUUAAAUCAUAUUUUUUAAUAAUGGAUUUAAUAAUAUGUGGGAUGUUCAAUGUUCUGGAUCAUUUGUUUAUAAACAAAGUCUGAUGGAAACAUUUCCAGAACUUUGUCCUGGACUUGUUUUGAUCGCUCCUUGGUCUUCAUGAUGCCGUGUGUCCAGAUAUGUUCAAAACUAUCUCUGGGUUCUUCCAGGAACAGGUGUAUUUAUACUGAGAUCACGUGACCCUUUAAACGCACACAUGCCAACCCCAAUGGGAGUGUUCACACUGGGGAAACUCACUAAGAUGUAGUACGCGAAAGUGUGCUGUGUUGAUCAGUAAAAAUGACUUUUAUGAUACUUACCAAGAUUUUCAAACAUUUUUUGAAUGGUAGUCUCGUUAGCAUCCACCAUGACACGUUUCUCGUCCAGCAUCAGGACGUUCAUGGACAACCACUUGGAGGACAUCCAGAGUGGGUGAUCUGAGACAAAUCGAAUUGUUACAGCAUACAGUUAUAUUGUUAUCUGCACUUUUACAUGAUGUGUCUAUAUAUUUUUUAUUUGAGGUUUAAGGCUCUUAAUGUUUGAUAACUUUGAUGACUUUCGGACGGGAAGGUAUGCGGUUUUCACCGCCGUGUGAACGUGAAACUCACCGUCAGGAAUUAAAGGUGUUGGUGGACGCACCACCGUCCAGCCAGCCUUCUUAAACAUCUCAAUCUGCAGAAGGACACCAGACACUUGACAUCAGACAUUAAUGGUAAUUACACAGCACUUCCAUUGUAUCACCACAGUUUGCUAUUGGCCUAGCUCCUGGCCACCUUCAUUGUUUGCUGUGUUCCAGGUCCUUUAUUCUUAAUUCCCUUUUCCCUAGUUUGUAGUUUCUUUGUUCCUAGUCUUCACAUUUGUAGUGUAGAAUUUUUAGUUUUUUUGUUUCCCUGUUCCCAACUUCCUUGUCCUUAAAUAAUUUCUUUUGAUCUUUUGUAAGAUUCCACUUGUUUGUGUUUUAUGCCAUGUAGAAAAACGUCACCUCUCACUCUGAGGUAUCAAGUAGCUCACCUGAAUUAGGCGUAGAUCUUACCUGUUGCUCACAUUAAAAAACUGGGGAGGUGUAAUAAAAAUGUCAAUUUAAUUAAGUCCUCCUUUGGAAAAGGAGCUUCCCCUUCAUCUUGACUCAGUAUAGGCUACAGGGGUUUAAAAACCAACACUACUCCUAAGCAAAGUGCCUAGUAUAGAAGCAUAAAACAAAAAGGGUGUGGCACUCACCUGGCGGCAUGGUCUCUCUGGAUUGGACAGCACCAGUCCGGGUCCGAUGAAGUUAAAGGUGGCGUCGAUGUGCUUGGGGUUCGGAUCCUUAAAUGAGAUGACGUGCACUUUGUAGGUGGGAGCGAGGUGACGCCUCAUCCACUCGAUUCCCAUAAAGUUAGUAACCUGUGAGCAGGUGUGAACAUCAUUAACUCUUUAUAGUCUGUUCUCUGAGAGAAUAGAACUUUAAACAUAUAUAAAAAUUAUAUCAUUUAAAGAUGCAACAGAACACAACAUUACUAAGUAGUUUGUGGAGAUGUCGUUGGUUUUGAUAUCGAACCACACUGGCUUCCACAAACAAUAUGGCAAUAAAAUAACUGCGGAGAAAACGGACUUCGUGUGGAGACGUUACUCGGCAUGCUCUGACUAGAGCAGCUGACCAGACACGCUACAUGAUCAGGCCUGGGAUUGGGUGUUAAAAACAAGGCAUGCUCAAGCCAGGUCAUUCAAAGAUUGAUGACUUUGUGGUACAGCAAUCUUCUUCCUGAAGUAGUGGAAAUUGUCACGACGGAAGAUUUUAAUAGCGCCACCUGUAGUACUGGAGUACUCGUACAUGAUGGCCAAUAUGAAACCACAGAGAGUUUGCAAGCUUGUAAGCUUGAGAAGGUGGCUCUCAUCGUCUCCAUAUGAAGAAUGCUGAGGUGUUUAGGAGAUUAAUAACGCUAACACUCAAAACAACACAUUUAUGUAUACACACACACACACACACACACACACACAUAUUCCUUACACCCAAGCCUUCAUGUGUGUAUGGGAUUUUUUUUGUCACCUGGCUCCUCUGCACAAACAGAUCUGUUCCGGCUCGGAUGAAAUCAGCAGCGUCAAAACACGGCUCAUGUUCAGUGGUGACAAACUUUCCCUCUGCAGCCAGUUUGUGUCUGUCCUCUACUGUACGGAUUGGUGGAAUGUUCACCUGCAGCAUAAGAGGAGAGCUAGCGCUAUUAAACCAUGCUAUGGCCUGUGUUUUUCCUGAAGCUCCACCCUGCCCCUGUCCCCCAGUCCCCCAGUCCCCAAGAGCAUAUGUUUUGUGGAAGAAAAAAAAAUCAUCUGUUUUUCGAAGCAGUUUUGUCAGGCUGAAAUGCAGUGAACACCUGAAGUGGAUCAGUCAGUGCUCUAAGUGAAAUCUGAUUUCAUUAUGUCUCCUUUACAGCUCCAUGUUUACAAGAACAAUCCCCACUCGAACAAAACCAGCAGGUAGAAAGAGACGCAUUCAUCAAACAUGAGAGAGUUUUAAAAGUGUGUAAGAGAGCUGGAAAAAGAGGGAGGGUGAUAAGCGAGAGAUCGUUUUGCUGAGUGAGAAUGACCUUGGUUUAAAACAAACACACCUGUCCUGAAUAGAAACAUGAACACACUGGAGUACGCUCACUAACACACUUCAGAAAACAGGAGUUGAAGAGUAAUUAAUAAUAAUAAUAAUAAUAAUAAUAAUAAUAAUUAUAAUAAUUAUAAUAAUAAUCCCUCACUCUGUACAGAAACAUCUCUGCCCACUAACUACCUAAAAUACUAGCAGGCCAACUAUCUGAAAAGUUAAGUUUAUUUCAGUCCAGACCUCAUCAGGGUAUGAUGCAGGGUCUUUGGUGUGAUGUCAUGAUUCAGUUAGUAACCUUAGCAAGAUUAUGAAAAUAACCAAAUAAAAAAAAUGGACCAAGAGAAGUCAACCACGGGUAAGUGGAUGAUGAGUAAAAUUUACAAUUGGAACAAGGGGUGUGUGUGUGUGUGUGUGUGUGUGUGAGAGAGAGAGAGAGAGGAAGACCUGAUCGUAUAGCUCGUCUGCCAUGGUGGGUUUGGGUGCGGUGGUCCACUUUGCUCCUUGUCUAAAGUACUCUUUAAUGAGCGGCCUGUAAGCACGAUACUCGAAAAACCGAGCUCUCCACGCCAUCGGAGCCUCAAUGAUCUCGUUCCCCACAACCAACAGGAUGUCCCGCGGCAUGGCUGCGUACAUACCUACACACACACACACACACACACACACACAGCAUUGUGUUCCAUGCUGCCGUAAGGAAACAGCAAACGCAUGAUAUUAACUUUAACUGUCUGUCUGUAUGUAUGUAUGUGUGUAUGUAUGUAUGUAUGUAUGUAUGUGUGUGUGUGUAUGUAUGUUAUCUUUGCUCCUGCUCAAUCAGGACACGCUUUACUGAACUCGUAUUAGUGAAGAUCACUCUUUACUUCACUGUGAUUGUGAUGUAAGGUUAAUCUCAGGGUCCGUCCCACCUGUGGAUGUGAAGUCGGGGGUUUUGUACUCGAAGGACCAGUCGAUGGGUUCAGGUCUCCUCACGACGACGCCUUCAUGGCGCAGGAUAUUGCACAUUUCCUCGAUUUCAGUAAUCGCCUUCUUCAGGUGCUCCUCAGGGAAUGUCUGCCCUCCGUAUUUCUGAUAAAAUGGCCAGUACUUCUCGUACGUGUUGGCCUGACGGAAAAACAAAAAGAGGGUGAGUAGAUGAGUGAAUGAGUGUGAGUGCGUGAGUGAAUGAGUGAGCUGAGAGUGAAUGAAUGAAUGCUCGUUGUCUGUACCUUGACCUCUACAGUAAACGGAGGGACGCGUGCGUUUUCCGCGCGCCCCACAAUCACUUCCUCCAGCAGGUCCCACUCGUUAUAAGCGCAAACUGGACACUCAUCAGGCACAGGCUCAUUGAUGCCCACGACCUCAGCUGCGUGUGAUCUCACGGCAGCCGCCGAGCUCGAGCUCUGAAACGCCUUCUGAACCCAACGGGACGCCGGUCCGAUAUGCACGCUCUGACAUCCGAUCUACCAUUUUCUGUUGGUGUUAGCCUGAUGCUGCUAUUGGAUAUCAGAUCGGUGCCACCUCUACAUUAAUGUAUUCAUUUUAUUCAUGUGAACGAGGCAAAAUAUGCAUUUAAAUGUUUGAAGGUGGACUAAAUGAGAGAAAGGUUAUGAGUGAGCGCAUGAAGACAUUAAGAAUCCUGUACAUGAAAUAUAUGAGUAAAUGAAUAGAGAAUAAUGGAUUCAUUAAAUACGGAAGUAAAUUGGCGAAGUGAGUAAAAUACUGGAUAAAUAAAUACCUGCAUGACUAACCUACUGAAUGAAUGACUGGAUGAAUAAAUGGUUAAGUAAACGUCUGAGUUGAUGAAUACAUUAGUAAAUUCAUGAACGGAUGACUGCUUGAAUAAAUGCAUGAAGAUAUAGAGUUUGUCACAUGAAUGAAUAUGUAAAGAAAAGGGUGUUUAAAUAAUGCAUGAACUGAAGGGCUGGAUGAAUCAACACAUGAAUGAAUGGAUGAAUGACAGCCCUGAAUUUUUUCCUGUACCGAGUACAGUAGUGUGCACUUUGUCGUCUCCAUUUGCUGCACAGCUGUAGAGGAAUGAAUCUCUCCAUCACUGAUAACGCUGAUAACAGGAACACGUUUACCCACACAAAGGUCAACACGCUCUCACUCAUGUGGAAGAGAUGAUGGAAAAAAAAGCCCAGAUACAGAGGCAGCAGUUUUGGUGGUGGGGAAAAGAUCAUUUUAUUCUCAUAUCAUUACAGAGAAGGUUUAUUUACUUGGGAAAAGAAAAAAAAAGAGGACAAGUUAAACCUCAAAUGUUUGUAUUAUUUGCAUAACUCCAAUUUUUUUGUUGAAGUUUUAAUAACAAUAAUUACAGUUCUGUUAAAAUAACUUUGUGUAAUGUUAAAUGUACAAAAACUUGUUUAUAGUUAAAUAUUUACUUGUAUUCAUAUUAAUAAGAAUGAUGUAUGUUAAUUGUACAAAUAUAUACUGACCAUACAUUGAUGCAGUAAUUUAAUAUGAUAAAUGAUGUGUAACUAUAUAAGCUGUUGUCUGAGUUAAAAUGAUUUUAAUGUGUAAUAAUAAUAAUAAUAAUAAUAAUAAUAAUAAUAAUAAUGUGUUUUAGCAUAUAUUCAUAUCCUGAGUAAAUAGUGAUGAGAAUGUUGUACUUUUUGUUGUUUAAUGUUUGUAAAGUGAAUGUUACAGUUGUGUGUACUGACCAUGGCUCCGAUUAAGUGAGCAGCCUCGGCUCCUCGGCUUCCUCCUCUCAGACAGCG